rnacentral:rRNA from 1 species
GAUGAACGCUGGCGGCGUGCCUAAUACAUGCAAGUCGAGCGAACAGACGAGGAGCUUGCUCCUCUGACGUUAGCGGCGGACGGGUGAGUAACACGUGGAUAACCUACCUAUAAGACUGGGAUAGCUUCGGGAAACCGGAGCUAAUACCGGAUAAUAUAUUGAACCGCAUGGUUCAAUAGUGAAAGACGGUUUUGCUGUCACUUAUGGAUGGAUCCGCGCCGCAUUAGCUAGUUGGUAAGGUAACGGCUUACCAAGGCAACGAUGCGUAGCCGACCUGAGAGGGUGAUCGGCCACACUGGAACUGAGACACGGUCCAGACUCCUACGGGAGGCAGCAGUAGGGAAUCUUCCGCAAUGGGCGAAAGCCUGACGGAGCAACGCCGCGUGAGUGAUGAAGGUCUUCGGAUCGUAAAACUCUGUUAUUAGGGAAGAACAAAUGUGUAAGUAACUAUGCACGUCUUGACGGUACCUAAUCAGAAAGCCACGGCUAACUACGUG